GGGGAAACACUAUGGAAUGGAAAAAGAAGUCACCUUCUCCAGCACUUUUAAAAACGACAGACUUUUACCCCCGAAGAUGAGUGUAGUCUCUCUGAUUAAGUGGUUCUCAACAGUUCAACAGUUCUUAGAGAAAAUUGUGAAAUGUUUAGGACCACUUGACCAGCCAGACAAAUGCUGCGGUUGGAAAAUACGUCCUCGGAAGGCCGGACCUGUUGGUGAUCUUUACUACAACUGUGUGUGAUUCCCUCUGCUAUUCUUCUUCCUCUCUCACUGUGCCCCCUUGUGUUACACUGACAACUGCAUUCCAGGCACCAGCGAGGUUGUAAAAAUCACCAGGCUCCAGUAAUUUCAUUCUGCUGGCACACACAGAGAUUUUUAACAGCCUCACUGAUGCCGUAAUGUCUUUUUUUCUUUUCUUUUUUUUUUUCCUCCACAGUUUUACUGUUGCUGCUAUUCAGAGGUACUGAUUAAAACAAGUCAAUAAAGAA